UUCUUUAAGGUAUAAAUUAAAGUAUCUCCUGCUCAAUGAAAAUUUCAAUAGCCGCAGUUUUACUGUGCUAAGGUAGCAUAAUAACUUGCUUCUUAAUUAGAAGAUAGAAUGAAGGGAUUAACAUUUAAAAAAUGUUUCUAUACACAAAAUAAAAUUAAGUUAAAAGUCAAAACUCUUUUAAAUAAUAGCGGGACGACAAGACCCUGAUAAACUUACCAUUUAGUUGGGGAAACACAGUAAUAAUAAUUUACUAUUAAAAAAACAAAACUUAAUAUAAAUAAGAGAACAGUUACUACAGGGAUAACAGCGCAAUUUCUUUUAAGAGACCUAAUCAAAAAAGAAGAUUACGACCUCGAUGUUGAAUUAAUUAUCCUUAUUGACGCAAUAGUUAAUAAAGGUGGUCUGUUCGUCCAGUAAAUAAUU
rnacentral:rRNA from 1 species